rfam:Pseudomonas aeruginosa PAO1, complete genome.
CCGCCCAAGGCGCCGCCGAUGGCCGCGCGGGUGUCGUCGCCUGCGAAGGCGGUACUACCGACCAGACUCAGGGACAACAGGAGUAUCGAGGAAUACUUCAUAGAGAGUUUCUCUCUGUGGGGAUGACGGCUGCGAUGCUGGGGUUGGCCCAAACCGCUGACAAGCGCCAGCCGACGAUUGGUAGAGCAAAUUCGAAAUAUUCCAAGUACUUGUUUUGUAUGGGGAACUUUCUUAAGUAGAGGCGGUCGUAGACCGAAUGUGAAGCGCGAUUUCAGGGUCGAAAUCGGUAUUUUUGCUGGCGGGAUGCUGGCCAUUCUAACGCCGACGAGCGGCCUGCCUUCAAGGCCUUUCAUCGACUUUUUCCUUAAGACGCCGCCUCCUGUUGCAGGAGGCGGCGUU